UUAAAUGAUAGCCAGGUCUCCCUACCUCGGUAGGGAUUGAGCAGGCAUUAACCCUUUGUGAACUGUAAUCUUAUAUUGGGUGCUGUCCCUUAGGGAGACGGCGCUCAUUAUAAACCCCUAUAUGUUUAACUGAUAAAGAGUAAGAGAAA
rnacentral:misc_RNA from 1 species